rnacentral:rRNA from 1 species
UGAGUAACCUGCCCUUAACUCUGGGAUAAGCCUGGGAAACUGGGUCUAAUACCGGAUAUGACUCCUCAUCGCAUGGUGGGGGGUGGAAAGCUUUUGUGGUUUUGGAUGGACUCGCGGCCUAUCAGCUAGUUGGUGAGGUAACGGCUCACCAAGGCGACGACGGGUAGCUGGUCUGAGAGGAUGGCCAGCCACAUUGGGACUGAGACACGGCCCAGACCUCCUACGGGAGNAG